GGCUACAUGGUGUAAUGGUUCAGCACGUCGGAUUCUGAUUCCGGAGAUCUUGGUUCGAUUCCUAGUGAGGCCU